CUACGGGUCGCAGCAGUCGAGAAUCUUCCGCAAUGGGCGCAAGCCUGACGGAGCAAUGCCGCGUGAGGGAUGACGGCCCUAGGGUUGUAAACCUCUGUCAGAAGGGACGAAGAACGUGACGGUACCUUCAGAGGAAGCCAUGGCUAACUACGUGCCAGCAGCCGCGGUAAUACGUAGAUGGCGAGCGUUAUUCGGAUUUACUGGGCGUAAAGGGUCCGUAGGGGGUCUGCCAAGUCUGAUGUGAAAUCCUGCGGCUCAACCGCGGAACUGCAUUGGAAACUGGCGGACUAGAGUGUGCGAGGGGUGAGCGGAAUUCCUGGUGUAGCGGUGGAAUGCGUAGAUAUCAGGAAGAACACCGUUGGCGAAGGCGGCUCACUGGCGCAUCACUGACCCUGAGGGACGAAAGCGUGGGUAGCAAACAGGAUUAGAUACCCCUGUAGUC
rnacentral:rRNA from 1 species